AGGUACACACAGUAAAGUUUAUUUUGGUGCAUGGUAUACUUCACUCCAUUAAAAAUAAAUUAAUCAGCAAAUUCCUGCCUGGCUCGGCUCUGGUUUAUGUAAAUAGUGCCCAGCUGUAAUGAGUUACAAGGUGUUAUUAUCUCACACACACAGAGGAGGCUUCACUCUGGAGCUCCGUGUGCAACAAAAGCAUCUUAAAUAAACUCAGAGAAGGCCGUUUGAUUUGUAAUGUUUUCACAGAAGUGGGAUAUACCUCAUCCAUAUAGAGUUUCUUUAUAUGACUCAUUUUAUAGCAAGUUAAAUGAAGGAAGUUUGAUGGGGGUGGGGGGAGGGAGGGACAAUAUGGUUCUCCACCCCCUUCUUCAAUUUAAAGAAAAUCCCCCCAAAGAUGACCCACACUCAGGGGGAGGAGACUAGUCCUCAGGGGCUCAGACCACGAGGGCUCUGCAGCACGUGCUCCGGAAGCUAGGAAGCGGGUGGUAGGCUGAGCACGGAGCGGGGUACUGGGGUGGUGCGAUGAAGCCAGGAAGCAUUCUCUUCCCCCCAGUAUCUCAUGUAAGGGGAGCCAAGGGAGGAAAGACAGCAUGACUCUACCCCAGUCCAGUGGGGGCCUUGUGUGACAAAGGGAACUGUCUUGAGGCCUCAGGAUGUGACAAGCCCCCUGGCCAGACAGGCCUCCUGGGUCCCCGAGGACGGGGUCAGCAGGAAAGAACACUGACAUUUCUG
rnacentral:lncRNA from 1 species